UAAGAAAAAGAAAUCCUUGAAGACUCCAAAAUGUGGGAAGAAGGUAAUUGAACACAUUUUUAGUUGUACAAUUGUUUGAAAAUGUCAAAAUCAAGUAUUAGUUGGGGUUUGUAGAUUGAUUAGUGUUUUUUGUCUAUUUUACAUGUACAACGACCAUUGAGCUAUGUGGAUUUGUUGAAUGCACCUGAUUCGCCCAUGGAUCAAGAGAGGGUGAAGGAAAUAUCCAUACCUAUUUCAUCAAUGGCGAACCCUCCUCCAUGCACUGGAGAAGCAUCUCAGGAUCUGGUAAUAGCGAUAGUUUCUCCAUCGAUGGUGAGCCAUCCUCAGUCCAUUGGAGAAGCAUCUCAGGCACAG